ACAGAUGCAAAACCUCCCCAAGGGGGAGUCAUUAUUAUUAUUAUUUUCUGGUGCAUUUAGAACUCGGUUCUCACUGUUGGGCUAGGCGUGCAGGGAAUGGAGGCGCCUGUGGGCUUGUGGGCCGAGGGAGGCCUGGCCUGCAGAGCAGGAGCAGCUUUGAGUUUGCAAGGCCAGAGGGCUCAGCCCUGCAAAAACAGGACAAGGAAGUGAGUGAGCCUGGCUGGGAGGCAGUUGGGGAGGGGAGGGGGGUGAGUUUUCUAGAAAGAGCUUCUCCCAGGCAGCAGCCCAAGGGCUGGGCCUCUAGCAGGAGAAAAUCCAGUUUGGAAACCCGGAGGGCAGAGGACACGUUGUGGCCGUUGCAGGCGAUCAUUGCAAAAAUAAACACAGGUCUGGGGGCGGGGAAGUCCAGGAGCACCAUGCCAGGCCAAUUCCUGCUCUGGUGAGAGCUCCCUUCCAGGCUUGCCGCUGGCUGCCUUCUUGCUGCGUCCUCACAGGGCAGACAGAGCUCUGGUGUCUCCUCCUCUUAGAAGCACUUCAAUCCCACCUUGAGGACCCCACUCUCAUGACCUCAUCUAAACCUAAUUACCUCCCAAAGAGCCAGUCUCGGAAGACCAGCACACUGGGGAUUAAGGCUUUGUCAUAUGGAUUUGGGGUGGGGCAUGGCACGCGUCACUUGCAGCACUAUCUACACCGUAUUCCUACUUAUUCCUCUCUCCUAUGUUACCCACCUGUUCCUAUUAUUCCUAUUAUAUAUAUAUAUACCACCCAACCAUUAGUGGAUGACAAUAGGCAGCUAGACAAUAGUUCAUGAGUAAGUACAUAUAUCUAUAGCUACUUACAUAUAAAGAAACAUACGUAAAUAUAUAUAGAUAUUCAUUAUGGACUGUUGCCCAUUUGCCUAUUAUCUGUUAUUGUUGUUAUCCGCGGAUGGGUGGGUGGGCUACAUCUAUGUUGUCUAAUAGAACUUUCUGCAGGGAUAGAAAUAUUCCAAAUCUGUGCUCUUUAAUAUGGAAGUCAUUAGACAAAUGUGGCUGUUGAGACUUGACACGUGGCUAAUACAACUAAGGAAAUGAAUUGUAAA